AUGAACGCUGGCGGCGUGCCUAAUACAUGCAAGUCGAGCGAACAGACGAGGAGCUUGCUCCUCUGACGUUAGCGGCGGACGGGUGAGUAACACGUGGAUAACCUACCUAUAAGACUGGGAUAACUUCGGGAAACCGGAGCUAAUACCGGAUAAUAUAUUGAACCGCAUGGUUCAAUAGUGAAAGACGGUUUUGCUGUCACUUAUAGAUGGAUCCGCGCCGCAUUAGCUAGUUGGUAAGGUAACGGCUUACCAAGGCAACGAUGCGUAGCCGACCUGAGAGGGUGAUCGGCCACACUGGAACUGAGACACGGUCCAGACUCCUACGGGAGGCAGCAGUAGGGAAUCUUCCGCAAUGGGCGAAAGCUUGACGGAGCAACGCCGCGUGAGUGAAGAAGGUCUUCGGAUCGUAAAACUCUGUUAUUAGGGAAGAACAAAUGUGUAAGUAACUAUGCACGUCUUGACGGUACCUAAUCAGAAAGCCACGGCUAACUACGUG
rnacentral:rRNA from 1 species